UGCAUAUCCCAUAGCGGAGGAAAAGAAACCAACAGGGAUUGCCCCAGUAACGGCGAGUGAAGCGGCAAAAGCUCAAAUUUGAAAUCCUGCGGGAAUUGUAAUUUGAAGGUUUCGUGGUCUGAGUCGGCCGCGCCCAAGUCCAUUGGAACAUGGCGCCUGGGAGGGUGAGAGCCCCGUAUGGCGCACGCCGACUCUUUGCACCGCGGCUCCGACGAGUCGAGUUGUUUGGGAAUGCAGCUCUAAGUGGGUGGUAAAUUCCAUCUAAAGCUAAAUAUUGGCGAGAGACCGAUAGCGAACAAGUACAGUGAUGGAAAGAUGAAAAGCACUUUGAAAAGAGAGUGAAACAGCACGUGAAAUUGUUGAAAGGGAAGGGCUUGCAAGCAGACACGGUUUUACCGGGCCAGCGUCGAAAAGGGGGGAGGAACAAGAACUCGAGAAUGUGGCGCGCACCUUCGGGCGCGCGUGUUAUAGCUCGUGUUGACGCCUCCAUCCCUUUUCGAGGCCUGCGAUUCUAGGACGCUGGCGUAAUGGUUGCAAGCCGCCCGUCUUGAACAAACGGACCA
rnacentral:rRNA from 1 species